rnacentral:rRNA from 1 species
UACGUAGGGUGCGAGCGUUGUCCGGAAUUAUUGGGCGUAAAGAGCUCGUAGGCGGUCUGUCGCGUCGGUCGUGAAAACUUGGGGCUUAACCCUGAGCUUGCGGUCGAUACGGGCAGGCUGGAGUUCGGUAGGGGAGACGUGGAAUUCCAUGUGGUAGCGGUGAAAUGCGUAGAGAUCCGGAGGAACACCAGCGGCGAAGGCGGCAUCCUGGACUGGUCCUGACACUCAUGAGCGGAAAGCGUGGGGAGCGAACAGG